rnacentral:hammerhead_ribozyme from 1 species
ACUCAGCUGACGAGUACAGAACAGGACGAAACGUGCGUCCUGCAU